CACACACACACACACACACACACACACACACACACACACUUAUUUGUAAUCUCUAGAUAGUGUUCACAUAUAAUUUGCCAAAGUCACAUUAGUCUUGUAAUUGGGUUUCAUGUCAAAUAUAGUUUCAGGAUUGUUGCGAUACAAGUUGUUACUGAGACUGCAGGUCUAUCAUUAUUAUAUUAAUCGUUAGCUCAACACAUUAUUAUUUCUAAUAUAGUAAUGAUUCUUAUUAUUAGAAAGGAUUCUGAUAGGGAAUAAAGGCUGUUAGACAUCCUCACCUUGCUGCUCUCCUCCUCUCCUCCUCCUGCUUUACUCUCUGCCUCCUCCUUCACCUCCUCAGCUUUGUUCACGCUGACAAAAACAACGCAAAGUUUGCACAGUGGUUUCUCACCAUGGAAAUAUGUGAACAUACAUACGUAGAAAUAUACACAAGUAUCAUAUUUAUACUCAUGUUUCUCUCCAUGCAGCACGAGAGCUACACGUGUGUGUGCGUGUUCUCCACCUGUCUGCUAGCUCCGCCCCCCCCUCUCCUCCUCCCUGCUCAGCAGUCAGAGCUGUGACGUCUGGCAUCCCAACUCUCUCCAGGAAACACAUCUCAGGAUCGGCUCGCAUGGCGUUGUAUCUCUCGUAGCCUGGUGAGCGACGCACACAUUAACACACACACACAAACCAUCACACACACUCACGCGGCACAGAUGAAAUAAUAACCUCACCGUGUUUGUGGACUCCAAUGAGGAGAGACUUGUCAGCUUCAGUAUCCCACCAAGCAGCUGGGAUCUCUAUGUAGUCGAUGUCUGGUAGAGACACCUCCAGUUUACUACACACACACACACACACACACACACACACACAGUUAAUAUGUCCCAUCAGAAGAAGCAUCAUCCAUCGAGCAAGGUGUCGUCACAAGACUUUACCUGGCAGGUAUUCCAUCCAGAGCUUGAUUGGCAGCUUCACCCAACACCUCCACCUUCAGGUAGUAUAGCAUCCUCACCCUCAGAAGCACCCUAAGAACAGACAGCGAUGGGGGGGUUUAUUCUACAUCAGGUAGAUCGCCUGCCAUUCAAAAAUAUAUAUUGUAUUAUAUUAUAUUUUCGGACACACGGGUCACCACGACCAUCGACCGCGGAAGUAAACAGAGGUUAGCGGUGCUAAUUAGCGAUCGCUGCUUCCUAACAAAUGUCAGCGAGCAGAAGGGGACGGAUGCUUCUGCAGCACUGACGAUCACGUCCUGACGCACAGAUGCGGUUUGAAGUGAUAACGGUAAAAGUAAUUGUUAAUUGUCACAAACAGAGACACUGGAAAGUCAACUUUCAAUGGUUGAAACUGGCUAGUAUAUAGUUCCAAUUCUAAUGGUAUGCCAGCAUAUAUGAUAAAUGUAAGGUAUACUCACUUUACAUAUAACACAUCAUUAGAUAUAUGGCAUUUUAUGUGUGGGUAGAUCGACAUGACUUUUGAGCUGAAAAGGUGUGGGCGGCCCUGGUCUACAUGGUAGCAGAGGACUUCCCACAGUUUGUGUCAUGUCUACUGACUUGUUGCAGUGCUGUUUCAGGUGCUUUUUGUAGCUCUCAUCCUGCAGCAACACAUCCGGGUUACAGUGGACCAGCCAGUCCGCGUUCUUCGCCUCAGGAACGUUUAGCUGGUUCUUCAUCUUCUUCCCCUUCCGACCGCGAGGCACCAGAGCCGAUAAGCCUGCAGCCCAAAAGACAAACUCAUAAAUAGAAAAGUAAACUACAUAAUACAACACAGCAUCAGGGUUCAUACACAUUUUGACCAAUGGAUGACUUUUCCAUGACUUCAAACUAAAUUUCCAUGACCAAAAACUGAGAAAUCUUGGUGUAUACACGAAACUAACAAAGUGAAUUCCAAGGCAUACACAGUGUUUCCCGUACCAAUCAAUUAGGUUUUUUUCACGUUUACAAUGAUCCACUAUGGAACCAUGCUAUGCUAGCCAUGCUAUCUUAACAAUGCUAUCUUUACCUUGCUACCUUAACGAUGCCACGUUAACAAUGCUAGGUUAACCAUGCUAUGGGAAACAUGCAGCGCUAACGAUGCUAUGCUAACGAUGCUACGCUAACGAUGCUACGAUUACGAUGCUACGUCAACCGCAGUAGCAGGGAGACCAUCACCGGAGUGGUUGAGCAGGUCCUGGUCCUCGCCCUCCUUGGUGGGUGUGAUCAGGUCCCAGAUGAAGCUCUUGAUCUUGUCAUCUCCUUUGUAGUGUCUCAGGCAGUAAACCAGCAGAGCCCUGAAUCACAAACCACAUCGAUCCUUCACACCAGGGACAGACAAAUGUCUCCCCUGGUCUAAGGAACUCGGCCUUCUUACCUGCAGAUCGCCUCCAUGUCUCUCUCUGUCAGGUGCCACUUAAAGCGCCCGUGGUUCAUAAUGUCCUUCCAGCGCCCCCACCUGGAAACACACGGGACAUCGGGAUGACAGGAAGAAGUGUUUGAGUGUGUUUGUGUGUGUGUGUGUGUGUGUGUGUGUGUGUGUGUGUGUGUGUGUGUGUGUGUGUGUGUGUGUGUGUGUGUGUGUGUGUGUGUGUGUGUGUGUGUCUCCGUACCCAAAGAUGAGCAGGUUCUUCUCCACCCUGAAGCACUCGGCCCUCAGGUACCGGCGGCUGCGCUCCCCCAGGCGACGGGUCCGACACGGCCGGUCCUCGGAGUCGCUAUCCAGCUCGGAGAACUCCAUCAACUCGUCGUCCUCGAAGGAGUUGUAGUGGCGGGUCUGCUUCCUCACGCGAGGGGUGUCAAUCACCAGGGACUCCUGCAGGAAGGGGGGGGGGGGGGGUAUAGAAUGAUAUAGAAUGUUAUAUUUAAUGCUAAAUAUACCAAACUGCAAACUUAUGAGGUGACGAUGGGAGGGGUUCUUUAGAAUUGUAUGUGUGGGUAUAGUAUAACGCAAUAUAUAAUGUUAAGUACAAUUGUAUCUAUAAUUUUCUAUAGUACAUUAUAUAACAAGAAGGAGGAGAAGAGCGAAGGACACUUCUCUCCUCCUUCUUUAUGUUGAAUUCUAUUUAUUCCUUCUGGUUUCUGUCCUUGGCUCCUCUUUCUUAGUCUCCUUUCGCCCUCUCCUCUUGUAAUUUGUUUGUGUCUCCUUUACUCUUCUGGUUCCUCCUUCCUCUCUUACCUUUUCAGAAUUGGAGUCUAGCUCCACCUCAGCAAUCUUGGCCCAUUUCUGCCAGAAGUUGGGGUCGUCCAGAGAAAUGUCGGUCCUGUUGCCAGAUGAGAUGAAACUGGCCUGAGGACACGACAGAAGAAAGAUGUUGAAAGUCACGACAACCUUCUCAGAUAGGAGACUGUGUCUCCGGGUCUCAGUUCUGUUUCAGGACUCGUACCUUGGCGAACGUAGACCCUUUCCCCUCCGUCUGGAUGGUGAUGGUCUGGGUUCGUCUCUGAAGGAUCUGAUCGAUGUCCUCCUCGCAGAACUUGGACCCCUCGUCCUCCUCGUCCAUCAGCGCUCCGUAAGCUCCUUUCUUCAGAAGGUCCUCCACCUCAAGUUUGGAGAGCUGCUGCACCUGAAGGAGACACAGCGGUUAGCUUUGGAGGAGAGUCCUCCUGGCCAUCCUGGUCCUCCUGGUUCUCCUGGUUCUGCUCACCCCGUUGAGGCUUCCCUUGCGGUUUAUGUCCUGGAGGACGGCCUUGUCCAGGCCCAGCUUCAGGCUGGCCUUGUCAAACAUCUCCCUCUCGUAGGAGUUCCUGGUGAUCAGUCUGUAGACCUUCACGGCUUUGCUUUGACCAAUCCGGUGACACCGCGCCUGAGCCUGAAGGGAGGAAACGUACCAUUAAUAUCACCAGGAAGAGUCCCCACAAUGCACUGGGGGGUAACUGAAGUCUGUGAUUCUUCAUCCUGAAAUCUCUGUGAAACAUCUGUAAGCAGCUGCAGUUUCAUAAUUAAUUAUUUGUGUAAAAUAUUUUCUUAUGUUACUAAUUUGGAAUAAACUGUUAAAUGCAGUAAUUCUCAUCUUAAUAUGAUCAACUGAGCUUUUACUAAACUCGUUUUGACCCUUGACAGGUCUGAAAUACAAUAUUAUAUACAUAUGUAUAUAUAAUAUACAUCGUUGGGUCGUUCUGACCUGCAGGUCGUUCUGGGGGUUCCAGUCCGAGUCGAAGAUGAUGCAUGUGUCGGCGGCUGUGAGGUUGAUGCCCAGCCCUCCGGCCCGGGUACACAGCAGGAAGACGAAGCGGUCAGAGUCCGGCUUGCAGAAGCGGUCAAUGGCGGCCUGGCGCAGGUUCCCCCUCACGCGACCGUCAAUGCGCUCGUAGGUGUACCUGCAGAGAAGGAGCCGUUAUUAAGGUCCAUCGUUACGAUGGUCUCCUUCCCGCCGGAGCUCACCUCCUCUGGAUCAGGUAGUCCUCCAUGAUGUCCAAGCAGCGGACCAUCUGGGAGAAGACCAGCACCUUGUGUCCACCUGCCAGCAGUUUGGGCAGCAGCUUGUCAAUCAAAACCAGCUUCCCGGCCGCCUGGAUCAUGGCCUGCAGCUGGAAGUCCAGCGCAUCGGGACUGUGGUACUUCCUGAAGCUCUCCAGGAUCUUCUCCUCCGCCCCUGAAGAAGGUCAUCAAGAGGAGAAGGAGGAGACAUGAGACGUUUCAGGAAUUAGGAAUCAGGAAACAUUUAUUGCCAAAAUAUGUCAUACAUACAAGGAAUUUGACUUUAAUAAAGUUAAAGAUAUUUAAAAAAUAAAGUGCACUAGUGAACAAGUGACAAAGUGACGAGUGAGAAAUGACAGUAAAGUGACGUGUGCAGUGAGAAGGAGAGUGACCGGUGGGAUGUUAUAGUCAGUCAGUGGGGGACCGGCUCUGUUGAUGAGCCCGACUGCCGACGGGAAGAAACUGUUGGUGUGGCGGGAGGUCUUAGUCCUGAUGGACCUCAGCCUCCUGCCAGAUGGAAGGGGCACUAACAGGUUUUGUCCGGGGUGAGAGGGGUCGGCCACGAUCUUUUUAGCUGCUUCAGAGACCUGGAAGCGAACAAGUCCUGCAGGGACGGCAGAUUGCAGCCGAUCAGCCUCUCUGCAGAGCGGAGGACACGCUGCAGCCUGCCCUUGUCCUUGGCUGUGGCUGCAGCGUACCAGACGGUGAUGGAGGAGCAGAGGAUGGACUCCGUGAUGGCCGUGUAGAAGUGGACCAUCAUCGUCUUUGGCAGGUUGAAUUUCUUCAGCUGCCUCAGGAAGAACAACCUCUGCUGAGCCUUCUUGGUGAUGGAGCUGAUGUUCAGCUCCCACUUGAGGUCCUGGGUGAUGAUGGAGCCCAGGAAACGGAAGGAAUCCACAAUAGUGACGGGGGAGUCACACAGGGUGAUGGGGGAGGGUGGGGCUCUGUUCCUCCUGAAAUCCACAACCAUCUCCACUGUCUUCAGGGCGUUGAGCUCCAGGUUGUUUUCAGAUCUUCAGUAUAGGUCGUAGUGAUGGGUAUCCAUACUGGUACUCCUAUUGGUUCUGUUCCUUAUCGAUUGGUGUGGGUACUUAUUAAUACUCUUAUUGGUUGUACUUAUUAGUUAUGUUGUUUUAUUAAACCUCCUCUAAUCAAUGAUGUCAGUGAUCAGGCUUCAUUGAUCUUCAUCAUGCUGCUCCACAAGAAGAUGUUUUUUACUUGUGAGGCUCUGAUCCACUUUUGUGGAACCAGCUUCCACUUCCGGGGGGGCAGACACAGUCAGCUCAUUGAAGGUAAAGACUUUCCUCUUUAUAGCACUUAUAGUUAGGGCUGGCUCAGGUUAAUCUGGACCAGCCCUUAGAUAAACUGCUAUAAACCUAGACGGCCCUUCUAUAACAAUUCACAUCUCAUUAAUCUCACUAAUUCAGCUUCUUCCCCAUCAUGGUUCUAUCUGAACCCUGUUCCUUCCAUCACUAUUAUUGAUGGUAUUAUAUUAACAAUACUGUCAUCAUAAACACAGCCCACUUUGCUUAUUUCCUGAAGUUUUUAUGUUUUCCCUCUGUUAAGAUCGCAGGGCCCUGUUCCUCGUACGUGGCUAACUUUGUUAGCCGGAUCACCUUCAGGAUGAGAUGACCUAGUUCAGGCUUUUCGGUUUCGCAAAGCUGGUUUGUCUAAAUCACCACAGCAACACAUCGAAAAUCUUGAACCUGCUCCGGUGCAGCUUCAUCUGAGCUGCUGGAUCAGUUCAUCACUCCUCCGGAAAAAAAGGGCAGCUCUCUUCCUCAUUGAUGAAGGAGCGACAUCAGUUAGAUGAACGUUUUAUAGGGAGAGACUUCUCUGAGAUCAAAGACCCGUUUAGCCGCCAUGACGUCCUGUACGAGCGCUGCAGACAUCUGUAGCGCUCGUACAUUUCCCCGUUACGUGAUAAACACCACACGCUGCAGCCGAGCGUCCACCGCAGACUGUCUCACUUACGGUCUCCCACUGUCUCUCAUACAAUGUCUAACACACUCUCUCAUGUCUCCCACACUGUCUCUCGUACUGUACAUGUCUGGGUGGCGCAGGAGUAGAGACGGAGCGCUGGGAACCGCAAGGUUGGUGGUCCGAGAAUGUAAAAAGCUGUGAGUUAAAAGCGUCAGCUAAAUGACCUGUAAUGUGAUGUACAGUGUUGCUAUGCAGAGAACAUCUGGAAAAGCUGCUCUUCGUAAAGUUCAGUUGGUUUAUUUGUUGCUUAAUAAACCUCUGGAUGUUCCACAUUUUCUGAAAGAGUUGAGAUCAUUAUUCUCUUUGGAUGAUGACGCUCUCCUUUAACUUUAUUUGACGUUAUACGGUUUUUAAAAAAUCCUGUUUUCGGUGAUCGACUCUUCCGCCUUCAGACGCAAGACGUGCACGAUGGUGGUUUUGUGUUAAGGUGGUUACAUCCCCUGGAUUACUACUCUCUGUAUUGUACAUAUUUUAGGUUCUGUACACAUGGCAUCCAUUGCAGUCUGUCCAUCCCUGUGGUCGGGCUCCUCCUCGGUCUCUACCUGAGGUUUCUCCCCAUCAAAGGGUUGUGAGGGUUUUUGGGACAGAGGAUGUCGCUGGUGUUCAAACUGUAGCGCCCGCUCAGGCAAAUUUGUAACUUGCAAUUUUGGGCUAAACAAAAUAAAAUGAAUUCAAAAUGGAAUUGAUCACAUUUGAGAGAACCAGUGUGUCGACUGGAGAAACAUCUUCUCUUUGCGGAGGCUCACCUGUAAUGAGGUACGGGUGGUUGCAGCACUUGCGGAGCUCCAUCAUGGUAUUGAUGAGGUUGGGCAUGUUGUGCUGGUUGGCUCCUUUGGACAGGAAGGAGAAGUUCUUCUCUAAGAUGGCUCGGUAAUACUUCUUCUGGAUGUUGGUCAGCUCCACCUGCGAGAUGUAGUGAACCCAUGAACCCACAGAUCUACAGCUCGCUCUUCCAGGUCCCCCACACCCAAGCUUCACACCGUCUCCACACAAAGGUCCAUCCUGAGCCUCCAUCCCAAGCUCCAAAGACAUGAACACAGACACUGGACUCCUUUAAGAUGGAACUAAAACCGUUUUGACUUUGUGUUAAAUCACUGUCAGCUAUUUCUUUUUUUAAUAUAGUUUGUUGUUAUUACCAUUACUGGCUCGGUGGCACUUUUUACAAAUAAAACAACACUAUUGUGUUUUGAUCACAUCCUCCACAAGAAAAUCAUCAAAGAACACCGAAACACAUCCGCGAGAAGAAUGAAUGAAAGACUCAGAGAACCGUUUACUUUGUAGGAUCUCACCUCGAUGAUGGUCUCCUCUUUAGGAGCCAGGUUCUUUUCUACAUCGUCCUUCAGCCUCCUCAACAUCAUGGGCUUCAGAAUGGCCUGCAGCUUUUUCACCUGGAGCAGAUGAGAUCAGAUGAGAGAGUGAGACACUCAGCUGCUCACAUCUCAUGGAAACACUCCUGUAAAGAGCUCCACCUGUCGACAUGAGUAUUCACCUGCUCGUCUGUUUUCAGGUCUCCGAACUCUUCCAGGAAAGUGCUCUCUGAAGGAAACUGCAGCGGCUCCAGGAAGUUCAGCAGGCUGAACAACUCCUCCACGGAGUUCUGGAGAGGGGUUCCUGUCAGAAGAACCUUGUGUUCCUGUGGGAGACAGAACGUAGAACCCGUUGCUUCUCAUUAACUGAGAACAUGAGGUUUAUUCAAACAAAACAGCCUCUUCCCCUACUGACCAGGUUCAUAAGCUUCAGCCCUUCCAGCAGUUUGCAGUUCCUGUUCUUCAGGGCGGUGAGCUUCGUCGAUGACCACGCAGCGCCAGUGGAGCUUCCUGAGCUCGGGACAGUCGGCCCAUGAUCAUCUCGAAGGUGGUGAUGAGUCCGUGGAACUUGAGCACCCCGGGGAUAGUGUUUCCCUGAGAUGGUCAUAUUUAUACAGGAUAUAUCAUUACAAUUCUUCAGCACCCCGUCCCUCCUACAGAACCACGUCCCUCCUUCAGAACCACGUCCCUCCUACAGAACCACGUCCCUCCUACAGAACCCCGGUCCUCUUUCAGAACCCCGUCCCUCCUACAGAACCCCGCCCCUCCUUCAGAACCCCGUCCCUCCUUCAGAACCCCGCCCCUCCUUCAGAACCCCGCCCCUCCUACAGAACCUAGUCCCUCCUACAGAACCCCAUCCCUCCUACAGAACCCCGCCCCCUUUAGAACCCUACCUGCACGUCUCUGUAGAACAUCUCGUACUGAUGGAUCAUCUGCCGGCUGAUCUGGGAUCCGUGGUAAACAAUGACGUUCAUGGGGGUCCAGGUACGGAACUCCCUCUCCCAGUUUGUGAUGGUGGACAGGGGGGCGAUGAUGAGGAAGGGGCCGCGGAUCCCCAUGCUGAAGAUCUCAAACAGAAAGGUGAUGGACUGGAUCGUUUUUCCUAGACCCAUCUCAUCCGCCAGUAUGCAGUUCUUCCUGGAGGGGAGACGGAGACAGAGUCUUUAACCAGAAGACGGGUGGAGACACAGCUGGUCACACAACACAAAGAGAAGCAACGGUACAAACUCACAUGCACUAAAAAGCACGCUCACGUGCACUAGCAUGCAUCAAAAGGCCAUGUGGUGCAUUCAUUUAAAUAUCAGAUUAUUUGUGGAACUGAUGUGUAGAUUUUAGAUUCAUUUUAUAAUUAGUUCCCCAUAAUAACUAAAUGUAAACUAAUGUGUGUGCGAGAGCAGCACUCACCGGUUGUACCAGUUGAAGAGUAACCAGUUCAUUCCCUCUAACUGGUACUCUCUGAGCUGGUUCCCAUUUCUGAAAUCUCUGGUGUUGUUCAGCUUCUGCCACUUCUCUGGAGGAGGACGAUCCUGCAACGCAAGCACGUGGAAACCUUUUAUCAGAUAUGAGGAGCGGGCAAACCAUCAGACUGUAGAGCUCCUGGAUUCUUUGGGUUCCAUCACAAAGGAGAUUAAAUAGCUGUAGAGUAUUAGAUUCGAUUAUUAAGGCUUCCCUUCCCCACUGGACCACGAGGAGACACCUGAAGAGGUUUUAAGGGAAAACAGUAGAGAACCCAAAGACGUUGUCGCUGUUUCCCUUGGGAUGUUUUCGUCACUUGAUGCAAUAGCUAUCUAUUUAUCCCGCAUCUUCUCAACAGUUCUAUCAGGUCAGUUGAUGUGUUGAGGCGUUUUAGCAGCUGGUUCUCCUGCUGGAGGAGCAACCCAGUCACAACUCAGUGUUGAGAAAGAAACCCAGAUGUUUUAUUCCGUAGUUUUCAGCUUGUUCUGGUUCCACUCACCAUGUGUCUGAGGUCUGCUGGCAGUUUCUGGAUGUGCUCAAACUCUUUGAUCUUCUCUGAAUCCAGGUCCUCCUGCAGCUCCCAGGUAGCCUCCUCGUAUGAGAGACUGCACCACUUCACCAGGUAGUGGGUGACCUCCUACAACAGCCCGCACAACACAUCCCACAGCGUUAGCAGAUGUUAGCUGGAGGUAGCGGAUGUAAGCACCAGGUGUUACCAGCUGUUACCAGGUGUUACCAGGUGUUACCUGGUCACCUUUGUGUUAUGUAAAGUUACCUGCUGUCAUCACAGCUGAUUUUGUGUGCUACCCACCUCUCCAGUCUCAGUGUCCGUGGUGACAGCCACCUCCAAGAUUCGGUCCACUUCCACAUAGUCCGGAUUAAAGAUGUCCUCAUCGGGCUGGAAGACGGGACAGAAAGACAACAAGACGAUGUUGAUUGAUUGAUUCCUCAUAGUGGAUCAAGUCAGAUAACAAUUUUAUAGAAUACAAAAUAAGCAAAAAACACCAGCGAUCAUUAAUGAAAUGUGUUCUUUAUUCUAACAGUGAUAUUUAUUUUGGUUUCUCCAUAUUGUUAUUGAGCCACUGUCA
ensembl:lncRNA